rnacentral:misc_RNA from 1 species
AGGAAGGCAAGAAGAGUGAUGCCUGACCGUGAGGGAUUUGAUGGAAAUGCAUCUCAAGUUGAUAAGAUUGAUGAACAUGGUGAAAUCAGACAGGCAGCUGGGAAUUACACUGGCAGGAGUGAACAGGUGCCAAUGUCAAUAGAUUUUUCUGUCUUUGGAUCAAGACCUAUGAGCAGACCCACAAUUAACAGUGCUGACAGAUCCCAUCUGAAGAGGAAACUAGAUCUCGAAUUCCAACACCCAGAAUAGAAACCAAUAAAAUCAUUAAUUUCUGCCAGAUUUGGCACGUGCUUCUGAGGAUGGACUAUUCCAGGGCAUGCAUUUAUGAGGUAACCAAUGAUUCUCGAGUUUGUUGUAAUUAUGCGGCAGUAUUUCCUAUUUCUUAUACUGACAAGCAACAGCCUGUUCUUGGCAUUUUCACCUACUUAUUACAAGGAAGAUUAUCAUUUUUCACAUGUUUGAAGUUGUGGCACAAACAUGGGAGUAAUGAAGAUAUUUCCAUGCAAAUACUGUGGUAAAAAAGGAAAUAAUGACAUUUUUUACGUUUCAAGAGAAUUUGGUGUGUAGUCCAGGAUUACUAAUUUUUUUCCCCCUCAAUAUUUGAUGCUUGAUAGUAGUUGAACUGUGGUUUGGAGUGCAUAAAUUCCAAUGUAAAUCAUGUUUUAUUAUUUCUUCUGUUGUAUCUGAACUAAAAGGUUGCUCUACUUCAGCACUUUCCCCCCUCAUGGAUGGAUGAAAUUUACUAUUCAAUCAUAAAUGCUCUGUCCUUAUAUAACUUCCCCUUUUCCAUUUUCGUGUCAUUCUGUAUUUGACAAUUUUUUUUCUUCAAAAUAAAGAGGGC